ACCCGCCUUGACACUCCACCGCUGCUUAAUUUACUCUGAUUCCUUCACUAUAGAUCACUUUAGCUUCUUACAACUCGGUAAGUUUGUUUUCAUCUAUUGGCUCAUGCUUGAUUGUUCAUUCAAACUUACUGAUAACUUAAAUAAUACCGCAGAUUUACAACUCAUAACCUGGUGGACAUUCCCUAUAUCCUCUCCCAAAUCAUCUACUCAUCGGUCAGGUUUUUUUUUGUUGUGUGCUGUUCCUUUGACUGUCCAUUGGGUGGCGAGCUACCAGAGAACCACCGAUACAGUGUGGUAGGAAAAAGUUCUCACAAACCUGGAUCCUCUGAUUUUGUUUUCCCAAUGGACCUCAUGAACUGUGAACCUUUUACUAAUUAAACUGAAGAGUUUAAUUUUUUUUUUUUUGCUCUUUUGAAUCAUCCUGUUGGAAUAUAUUUGUUUUUUUGUUUUUUUUUUUGUUUUUUUCCUUUGAAAUUAUAUUGAUUAUCACAUUUGUGUGUAUAUUCUAUUAAUUCAUAUCCAUAUAAAUUAUAUAAUAUAGCUCAUUAACAUGUAUACGUAACCCAUACUCUUUCUAUUAGAAAAUAAAUAUACAACUAUUAAUCAUAA